CCCAUCGCGGCUUGGGACCCGACAAGAUGGGCAAGAAGGGCAAGAAGGAGAAGAAGGGCCGCGGCGCGGAGAAGACGGCCGCCAAGAUGGAGAAGAAGGUGUCUAAGCGCUCGCGGAAGGAGGAGAGGGCAAGUAAUCAUCACAGCAGCCCUGAGGAGUGAGCAGCAGAUGGUUAAGUGAAGAAGGCACUGGAGCCACGGGGUAUCCCAUAGCAGCUGAUGGCGGCCAUCACGGUUGUCUCCUUCCCUCUGGUCCUCAGCCCGGGGUCUGCAGGAGGAUCCGUCCUGAAGUUGGGGUUGAGUGUUCUGCGGCUGUUGCUCAUGGAUUCCCUAACCGGGGGCAGUUUUAUGGCCCUGCCAUGCGCCAGGCACAGCUCCCUGGGCUUUACUUCUCACAACCAGGAAGACCUGGAAGCGCUCAUAGCCCAUUUCCAGACACUCGAUGCCAAGAGGACUCAGACUGUGGAAGCUCCGUGCCCCCCGCCCUCACCAAGGUUAAAUGCCUCCCUCUCGGUUCAUCCUGAGAAAGAUGAGUUAAUCCUAUUCGGAGGUGAAUAUUUCAACGGCCAAAAAACUUUUUUGUAUAACGAGCUCUAUGUCUACAAUAUCAGAAAGGACACCUGGACCAAAGUUGACAUCCCCAGUCCACCUCCGAGGCGCUGUGCUCACCAGGCGGUGGUGGUGCCUCAAGGUGGCGGACAGCUGUGGGUCUUUGGAGGGGAGUUUGCCUCUCCGAACGGAGAGCAGUUCUACCACUACAAGGAUCUCUGGGUCCUGCAUUUGGCCACCAAGACCUGGGAACAAGUCAAAUCAACAGGCGGUCCUUCGGGUCGGAGUGGACAUCGGAUGGUGGCCUGGAAGAGACAAUUGAUCCUUUUUGGUGGCUUCCAUGAGAGUACACGAUUCUAUCUAUAUGAAGAGCCAUCGUCCUGUGAAGGAUGUGGUCAGUCUGAGUUGCAGUCAGCAAGGGAUUACAUCUACUACAACGACGUGUAUACCUUUAAUCUGGACACCUUCACAUGGAGCAAGCUGUCCCCGUCAGGGACAGGGCCCACACCCAGAUCAGGCUGCCAGAUGUCCGUCACUCCCCAGGGCGGCAUCAUCAUCUACGGGGGCUACUCGAAACAGAGAGUUAAGAAGGACGUGGACAGGGGCACGCGGCACUCAGACAUGUUCCUGCUGAAGCCGGAGGACGGGAGAGAAGACAAGUGGGUGUGGACUCGGAUGAACCCUUCAGGGGUCAAGCCCACCCCACGGUCUGGCUUUUCUGCGGCCAUGGCCCUGAAUCACCAGACACUGUUCUUCGGGGGUGUCUGUGACGAGGAAGAGGAGGAGAGCCUGGCGGGCGAGUUCUUCAACGAUCUGUACUUCUACGACGCCACCAGGAACCGUUGGUUUGAGGGACAGCUGAAGGGACCCAAGUCUGAAAAGAAGAAACGCAGGCGGGGCAGAAAAGAGGAGUCCGAAGGUGGUAGCAAGCUGGCAUGUGGGGGAGCUGGCACCCAGGGACCUGUGCAGGUGGUCAAGGAGGUGGUGGCUGAGGAUGGCACCGUGGUCACCAUUAAGCAGGUGCUCGCCGCCCCAGGCUCGGCGGGGCAGCCCCGGUCUGAGGACGAAGACAGCCCCGAGGAGGCCGGCAGCUCUGCACCCGGGCCGUGUCCACGCUCCAACGCCAUGCUGGCCGUGAAGCAUGGGGUGCUCUACGUCUAUGGGGGCAUGUUUGAGGCCGGCGACCGCCAGGUCACCCUCAGCGACCUGCACUGCCUGGACCUACACAGGAUGGAGGCGUGGAAGGCCUUGGUGGAGAUGGACCCAGAAACUCAGGAGUGGCUGGAGGAGACGGACUCGGAAGAGGACAGUGAGGAGGUUGAGGGCGCCGAGGGUGGAGACGAGGACGAGGAUGAAGACAGCAGAGAGGAGAGCGGUGCGGAGGACUGAGGCUGUGACAAACCCUGUGCCCACGCUGCCUGCACUGCCGGGAGACUCAGGGCUGGGGGAGACAUGCCCCGGUCAGCACUGCGGAGACUCAGGACUUGGGGAGGCAUGUCCUGGUCAGCACUGCGGAGACUCAGGGCUGGGGGAGGCAUGCCCUGGCCACCACUGGUGAGCCAGCGAGACUGAGGACCCUGCGCGUGCUGACCCGGGGACACCACGGAACUCACUCGCGAUUCCUGCUCACAGCACGUUUCCUGCUCGGAAACCAGGAGAGCCUCCACGUGCCACCCAGCUCUGUCCACACAUCCAUCGUGCAGCUCUGCAGCAGAAGGAACUUCAGUAAAGACGCUGCCUGACCCCAGGGCCUGGGAGCCCCCGGCAGAUUGGCCCUCCUUGCCGAACAGUGGCUGCCCUUCAUGGACUCGGCGCCUGGCAGAGCUGCUGUGCAGGAGGAGUUGGCUGUCAUGGUUGGGGGAGACAGCCCUUGGGCCGUUGGUGGUCAAGGUUGAACCCAUAUCCGGUGGAAUCUCCUGGUCUGUUCCACACACGAUCGCCCAGGAAGCUCUGGGACCCGAAGGCUGUUCUGAUCUCAGGGGUCACAAGUUCUCACGGCCGCCUGGGGUCACCAGGGACCAGACCCGGCGUUAGCCUCUGUAAGGAGCUGCCUGGCUGCUGGGCUGAGCUUUGUUGCAGGCCCAGGAAGAUGACCAAGAAGGACAGAGCAGAGGCCCAUCCGCCACUGCUGGGAGAGCCCCGGGGAGCACAUGCACAGCAGAGCCCCAUCCACCACUCCCUGGGCUCAAAGAGGCUUCCUCGGUGUGGAUGGCAGCUGGUAACGAGCAGCGGUGGUGCAGCUGGAGGCCUCUGUCCCAUGGGGCACAGACAAGGGGGAAGGAGGGCGGACGGGUGUGCACGCUUGGGAGGACGGGUGGGCGGCAUAGGCCUGAGCAGGUGGCGUAGGCGCACGAGAAGGGCGUGUCUGAGACAGGAUGUUGAUCCCAAAUGCCAGGAGUGGACGAGGCGGACGAGUGGCCAUGAAGUAGGCGUGUGAGGUUGUUGUCUGGCCCGCUCCGCCGACUCCAGAAACCCAGCGGCCUGGGCCCAGCACCCGGAUACACAUGGGGUGAGCUCCCGCCCACGCUGUGGCCUGUGCCCGUCACGGGGCCGCUUGCUUCUCCCAGGCUUGGGAACAAGCUGGCACGAACGCUGUGGCUGCACUCACAGCUCGGGCACUUCCACUUCGGGUGUCAUGAAAAAACAGACUUAAAGAGCAUUUGUUCCUAAUGGGUGGGCCGAAGCUUGAGAGGAGCAUUCAGCUUCUCUCCACAGUAUGGCUUCACCUGUUCCUGAGCGCCCUGCUACCUUGUUGCUAACCUGAGUGGCUGAGGUCCUCUGCUCUGGUGGCGUUGACUGCUCCUCUGCAGCCAGCGCCAGGUGCCGGCCCCGCCUCUGCUCAUCGGGAAGUGCUGGCCCGCAGGUGCUUCGUGGUUUGCCACGGACCCUUGUUCCAUCCCUUUCCAGUACCCACCCCCCCACCCGCUGUGCAUUCCGUAGUUCAUUUUCAAGGCAGGGGGCACAUGGUGAAAAUACAGCCUGGCUUUUUUUCAACAAAGGCAGCUGCACUUUUCCUUGCUUGUUUUGAAGGCCAAGCCGGCAACCUCCUUGGCACUUGGGGACAGUCGCUUCCUCAGUUUCUGCGUACCGACUGUCUCACCUGACACGCGGCCUGGGCGCAAGAGAAGCCAACCAGGUGCCUGAGCUGACUGACUCCUUCCGCCCUCCUCCCUCCUCCCUCCUCCCUCCAACCUCCAACCUCCGCCCUCCAUCCUCCAACCUCCGCCCUCCAACCUCCUCCCUCCACCCUUGAACCUCCUCCCUCUGCCCUCCUCCCUCUGCCCUCCAACGUUCUCCCUCCUCCCUCCGCCCUCUUCCCUCCACCCUUCACCCUCUUCCCUCCACCCUUCACCCUCUUCCCUCUUCUUCUGCCCUCCUCCCUCCGCCCUCCUUCCUCCCUCCACUCUCUGCCCUCCUCCCUCCGCCUUAUCUGGAAUCGGGGUCCUGGUCCUGGGCUAGAGGCAGACCCUGGCCCGGGCGAGGUUAAAGGCACUGCGGGAGGGCAGCGUCAUGAUGUCCUGAAGCUUGCUGCGCCCAGUGCUGUCAGCUGGCUGAAGGGAGACACAGUCACAGGCACCUGCAGCUAUGGAAGGCGACGACCAAAAAUCUAAUAGGCACCUUGAUGUCAAGUUUCCAAGACCAAAGGCAGGAACAGUGGGAUCAAACUUAGGAAGAGUCAGAGAAACUGAGCAUGACCUAGAGGAGGGAGACGGUCCUUCCUCUCUCCUGCAGAGCGUUCUGUCGCACGUAUGAGGUGAAAUUUGCACUGUCCCAUGAAGACUGUGAGGGGAGUUGCCGCCGCACACAGCUCAGGAGUGCCAGCAGCUUGGGGACCACCACAGGCCUCAGGGCCUCUUCAGUCCCACGGGUCCAGCUGUCAAUAAAACUUCCCGGGGAAGGAGUAAAGGACAACCAAGAACCUGAACUGAAAAAGUAUGAAAAACAAACAUUUCAUUUCCCUCAAGUUCUCCUCUCUUUAGGUCUGCAGUGCCUUGGGGGUGGCUGACAGCCCUCAGUGAGACGGGGUGGCCGUGUGGUUCUGAAAGUGAAAAGGAGCAAGUGUGGUUAGAGCCACGGUCACAGUCUGGAGUGUGGACGUCCCGUGGACUGCUGGCCCAUGGCCUGGCUUGGGGCCUUACAGGGGAGCGAGUUGAGUGCAUGCAGGGGAGGGCCCGUCUUUCUACAAUGUGUAUCUUGUUUUUGAGACGGACUCACGCUGUCGUCCAGGCUGGAGUGCAGUGGCGCGAUCUCCGCUCACUGCAACCUCUGCCUCCCAGGUUCAAGCGAUUCUCCUGCCUCACCCUCCUCAGUAGCUGGGAUUACGGGCACCCGCCACCACGCCCGGCUAGCUUUUGUAUUUUUUUUUAGUAGAGACGGGGUUUCUCUAUGUUGGUCAGGCUGGCCUCGAACUCCUGACCUCAGGUGAUCCACCCGCCUUGGCCUCCCAAAGUGCUGGGAUUACAGGCGGGAGCCACCGCGCCCACCCCUGCCCUGCUUUUCUACGUCACCACUGUCUUGUCAGCUAGCUCGGCUCGGGCAUUGCGUGCCCUGAUCUGUAUCUUUGGGAAUCCUGUGAGCUAAUGGUUCUAGGUCCAAAAGAACGGACAAAGAGACUGUUUCAGGCUCCCAAAAUUAUCCAGGCACAUUCUGUGCGCUCCUGAAUUCAGAAAGCACCGGUCCAUCCAGUGUGCAGAGGCUGGUAAGUAAAACAGGCCAGCCAUGGGCACAGACAGGUUCACCAGAGGGCCCGGGGCAGGUCUUCUGCAGCUCUUCCAGGGCAGGGCUAAUCUGUUCCUGGGCCAGAGGUGGACCUGUCUGCAGGCUUGUAAGGGUGGGGAGACGCCAGCCUGGCCCGUGGGCUGUCCACAUUCACCCCCCGCAGACCGCGCUGCCAUCUGGAGGCGAUGCCACUUCUUCCUCCUGGCCUCUGGGGUGCACAUGGAAGAAGCUGUUGGGGAGAAAAUGGCUCUCACCAGGCUGCUCUCGGGUUAAUGAAAACUCGUCAAAUUCUCCAUGCAGCAGCAGCAGCCAGCCGGGCACACGCUGUCCUGUCCUGCCCAAGUGUGUGGAGGGAAGCAGGUCCCCCUGGGUCUGGGUGGAAGGACUGUGUGCCCGUCAGGGAAGGCCAAGGCUCCGGACAGGUGGGAAGCAGCCUUCUCCUUAAUCACCCCACGUGGAAACCAAUUAAAGAUUCGAUUCUCUCAGACCCAGGGUAUUUUAGCCUUGGUUGAAUCCUCCUGGAAUUCACAGGGAAGUGGCUUUGCCCUCUGCCCUCGCUGAUGGAAGGCAAGGGGCCGGCCUCGGCUUGGUUUUCUAGGUUGUGUUACGGCAGCAGCUGACGGCCCCUAGGGCUGGAUCUGCACGGCUUCGCUCAGGGACACCUGCCUCUGUGUGUGUCUCAUGGUGUGAAUGUGUCUCCUGCUCACAGGUACCGUUUUGUGUCAUGCAGUUACUGGAAUGUACAAAAGCAGCUGUGAUCUUUGCAAAGAGUUGCAGACAAUUACAAAACCCCUCUCCCAGCAUGCUGAUUGUGAGAGCUGCAAAGAGCAGGAGUCUUUAUUUGGUUAACUUCUGGUCUGCAGCAACCACUUGAUACUAAAAAACGGAAAAGAUGUCACAUCCGUUUGGAAGGCGACAUUAUCAGAAACGCAUGACCGUCAGUCCUCCCUCCCUCUCCUAUGCCCCCCCCAGACCAGGCCGCGAGAAGGAACGGGGAGUGAACAUAUAACGGAAAACAAUAAAACUGAAUUUAACUGGAA